CACGCCGUAAACGAUGAGUACUAGGUGUAGGGGGUAUCGACCCCCCCUGUGCCGCAGUAAACACAAUAAGUACUCCGCCUGGGAAGUACGAUCGCAAGAUUAAAACUCAAAGGAAUUGACGGGGACCCGCACAAGCAGCGGAGCAUGUGGUUUAAUUCGAAGCAACGCGAAGAACCUUACCUGGACUUGACAUCGUCUGAAUAUCUAAGAGAUUAGAGAAGCCCUUCGGGGCAGAUAGACAGGUGG
rnacentral:rRNA from 1 species